AGAGUUUGAUCAUGGCUCAGAUUGAACGCUGGCGGCAGGCCUAACACAUGCAAGUCGAACGGUAACAGGAAACAGCUUGCUGUUUCGCUGACGAGUGGCGGACGGGUGAGUAAUGUCUGGGAAACUGCCUGAUGGAGGGGGAUAACUACUGGAAACGGUAGCUAAUACCGCAUAACGUCGCAAGACCAAAGAGGGGGACCUUCGGGCCUCUUGCCAUCGGAUGUGCCCAGAUGGGAUUAGCUUGUUGGUGGGGUAACGGCUCACCAAGGCGACGAUCCCUAGCUGGUCUGAGAGGAUGACCAGCCACACUGGAACUGAGACACGGUCCAGACUCCUACGGGAGGCAGCAGUGGGGAAUAUUGCACAAUGGGCGCAAGCCUGAUGCAGCCAUGCCGCGUGUAUGAAGAAGGCCUUCGGGUUGUAAAGUACUUUCAGCGGGGAGGAAGGGAGUAAAGUUAAUACCUUUACUCAUUGACGUUACCCGCAGAAGAAGCACCGGCUAACUCCGUGCCAGCAGCCGCGGUAAUACGGAGGGUGCAAGCGUUAAUCGGAAUUACUGGGCGUAAAGCGCACGCAGGCGGUUUGUUAAGUCAGAUGUGAAAUCCCCGGGCUCAACCUGGGAACUGCAUCUGAUACUGGCAAGCUUGAGUCUCGUAGAGGGGGGUAGAAUUCCAGGUGUAGCGGUGAAAUGCGUAGAGAUCUGGAGGAAUACCGGUGGCGAAGGCGGCCCCCUGGACGAAGACUGACGCUCAGGUGCGAAAGCGUGGGGAGCAAACAGGAUUAGAUACCCUGGUAGUCCACGCCGUAAACGAUGUCGACUUGGAGGUUGUGCCCUUGAGGCGUGGCUUCCGGAGCUAACGCGUUAAGUCGACCGCCUGGGGAGUACGGCCGCAAGGUUAAAACUCAAAUGAAUUGACGGGGGCCCGCACAAGCGGUGGAGCAUGUGGUUUAAUUCGAUGCAACGCGAAGAACCUUACCUGGUCUUGACAUCCACGGAAGUUUUCAGAGAUGAGAAUGUGCCUUCGGGAACCGUGAGACAGGUGCUGCAUGGCUGUCGUCAGCUCGUGUUGUGAAAUGUUGGGUUAAGUCCCGCAACGAGCGCAACCCUUAUCCUUUGUUGCCAGCGGUCCGGCCGGGAACUCAAAGGAGACUGCCAGUGAUAAACUGGAGGAAGGUGGGGAUGACGUCAAGUCAUCAUGGCCCUUACGACCAGGGCUACACACGUGCUACAAUGGCGCAUACAAAGAGAAGCGACCUCGCGAGAGCAAGCGGACCUCAUAAAGUGCGUCGUAGUCCGGAUUGGAGUCUGCAACUCGACUCCAUGAAGUCGGAAUCGCUAGUAAUCGUGGAUCAGAAUGCCACGGUGAAUACGUUCCCGGGCCUUGUACACACCGCCCGUCACACCAUGGGAGUGGGUUGCAAAAGAAGUAGGUAGCUUAACCUUCGGGAGGGCGCUUACCACUUUGUGAUUCAUGACUGGGGUGAAGUCGUAACAAGGUAACCGUAGGGGAACCUGCGGUUGGAUCACCU
rnacentral:rRNA from 8 species